rnacentral:lncRNA from 1 species
GUAACACGGAGCAGCACAAUGAAUCAGUAUUAGCCCCGGUGCAGCUGCGAGAGGGAAAAUCAGGUUAUUCAGCCAACCCACAAGGAAGAGAAGGGAUGCCUCAUGCAUAUGAAACCCCUCUGUCUCCAGUCUUCAAGCAAUUAACAAGCAGCAUUAAUGAACUUCUGAGUGAAGCAGCCCUUCCUGUCUGGAACGGUGGUGGUUUUAACAGUGGCAGGAGGGAAAUGCUGGAGAAGGCAACAUGGCAAUCAUUAGCAACAGGAAUGGGAUAUGCACUGGUGAAAACCAUUCACUCUAAGGAGCAGGAUCAAUCUGCCCUUCUUUUCAGGACUGCUGAAUAGCCACUGCUCCUGAACACUGGCAGCUC